rnacentral:rRNA from 1 species
UACGUAGGGUGCAAGCGUUAAUCGGAAUUACUGGGCGUAAAGCGUGCGCAGGCGGUGAUGUAAGACAGAUGUGAAAUCCCAGGGCUCAACCUUGGAACUGCAUUUGUGACUGCAUCGCUGGAGUGCGGCAGAGGGGGAUGGAAUUCCGCGUGUAGCAGUGAAAUGCGUAGAUAUGCGGAGGAACACCGAUGGCGAAGGCAGCCCCCUGGGCCAAUACUGACGCUCAUGCACGAAAGCGUGGGGAGCAAACAGG